GCCAGGCUGGGGCCUGGGCAAGGCCGGUGCUGUGGGGGCCCAGGGGAUGGGACGCCCCCAGGACAAAAUGAUUCCCCAGGCCUGGGGCUUCCAAUGGGGAGUCAGGAUGUCUCCUGUACCCUUAGGGGGACUGCCAGCGGGAGAAGGUUCUCCGGGGCCUUCCUUCACAUCCCCUGCCACCAUGGCCUGAGCAGUCAAUGAGAACCACGGCUGUAGACAAAAACCUGGACACUUCCCAUUCCCAAGUUCCCAUUAGGUGUCCACUCUGCCUGGGCCUCCAAGGCCUCGGAGCAGGAGGUGAGCUGGUCGCCUCCUAUAUUUAGGCCUCCAGGCUAAUUUUAUCCGGGGGCGGUGCCACCCCCGCUGCACAUGCGCGCCGACGUGCGCGGCCCCACCACGCGCUUCCGCCGCCGCCACGGUCGCCAGGGAAACCGACGUCAGCUGCUGAGCUCAGCGGUUGCUGGAGGGACCACAGGAGGGCGGGAGGAGCGACCCCUCCCCCAUUUCCCGGCGGAAGUGGGGGAACGGCCCACUCUCACACUGGUGGGCGCGGCCGGGGGGGUCACGCAUCCCUUACAUAUCCCCAGUCCCAGGAUGGCUCGGUGGCCGUAAGAAGUGGGACGGCCUAUUAGGAUCCCAGGGUUGGUCCUGGCUUCCCCAGGACGAAGCACAACGGCCACUGCCCUCGGCGCAAAAGCCCCUCAACCUGACUCUCGCCUGGAUCCCAGUCAUUCUGGUCAAGACAACACAACCUUUCCUUCUUUAGCCCCUGCGCUGCUUCCCCACCACAAGGACCGAAGCCGGCAACCUGCCAUCGUCAAGGACCCGAGGAUCCUCUCUCUUCAGUCCCCUACUUUUCUGGCCAGACCCCCCCACCAACCCCAAGCCUUGGGCAGAAGACACACAACAGCCAACAGAUCUUUCUUCCCCUACUCCCCGUCCAACCACACCCCUACUACUGAGCAUUUUCUGAGCGCCAGGGGAAAAGGGAAGGUUGUGGCCAACAGCAGGAACCAGCGCUGGGAACGGGAUGUUCUAGUCCGAAGUGGGCUGACAUCACAGGCGGCGCAGGGCCAGGGACUGGAGAACAGAGACACGGGGAGCGCUGAAAGCCUAAUAGGGUCCUGGUACCGGGGCAAACCUGGGGCCCCUCGAGUAACGAGCAAGAAGACCGGGGCAUGCCCGCUGAGAGUCGGCUGUGGGGCCGGGAAAGCUGGGACGGGGAGGUGGGGACAAGCUGGAGGUAAGAUGAGUGGGUCAGGAGUGCAGACUCCCGGUGCAAGAUUUCGAGGAGGACUUCGGUCCUUGGGGGCAGGGAGAGGGUGGGUAGCGGUAAGGACGACAGUGUGCCCUCUGCCUGGGCCGAAAGUAGCCCAUCAGAUUGGAAGUGGCAGCGGUCCGGCUCAGGGACGGAGAUCGGCCCCAGGAUGGCCGCAGAGAUGCCUACCUGGUCGCAGGAGUGUCCUCCGCACGCCUGCCCGCCGCCGCUCCAGCCCGCAGCCGAGUGGAAGCUCCACCGGGCGGGCGGGGA
rnacentral:lncRNA from 1 species